GGUAUCGCCAAGCGGUAAGGCUGUGGACUUUGAAUCCGCCAUUCGUAGGUUCGAAUCCUGCUACC
rnacentral:ncRNA from 12 species